rnacentral:ncRNA from 1 species
GUAAGAGAUAGAGGCGCAAUAUUUAAUAGUAAUAUUAUGGAGCUAAGCACUUUGAAGUAAUAUGAAAGGAAAUAUUGCCGAAGUCUAUAACUAAUGCUUUAAGGUUAUAGAGCUGGGGUUGCAUAGAAUAUAUGCAAAACUGUCACAAGUACUUUGUGGUGAGCUAUCAUUCGU